GAGAGCAAGGUCAUAACUAGACGGAGCCGGGAGAGAGAGAGCAAUGUAAAAACUAGUCAGAGACGGGAGAGAGAGAGCAAGGUAAUAACUAGUCAGAGACGGGAGAGAGAGAGAGCAAGGUAAUAACUAGUCAGAGAGCAAGGUAAAAACUAGACAGAGACGGGAGAGAGAGAGCAAGGUAAUAACUAGACAGAGAGCAAGGUAAAAACUAGACAGAGAGCAAGGUAAAAACUAGACAGAGACUGGAGAGAGAGAGCAAGGUAAUAACUAGUCAGAGACAGGAGAGAGAGAGCAAGGUGAUAACUAGUCAGAGAGCAAGGUAAAAACUAGACAGAGACGGGAGAGAGAGAGCAAGGUAAUAACUAGACAGAAAGCAAGGUAAAAACUAGACAGAGAGCAAGGUAAAAACUAGACAGAGACGGGAGAGAGAGAGCAAGGU